CCUACGGGUGGCAGCAGUGGGGGAUAUUGCACAAUGGGGGGAACCCUGAUGCAGCGACGCCGCGUGGGUGAAGAAGCGCCUCGGCGCGUAAAGCCCUUUCAGCAGGGAAGAAAAUGACGGUACCUGAAGAAGAAGCCCCGGCUAACUACGUGCCAGCAGCCGCGGUAAUACGUAGGGGGCAAGCGUUAUCCGGAUUUACUGGGUGUAAAGGGGGCGCAGGCGGCGUUGCAAGCCAGAAGUGAAAGCCCGUGGCUCAACCCCAGGACUGCACUUGGAACUGCGUUGCUGGAGUGCAGGAGGGGUAGGUGGAAUUCCUGGUGUAGCGGUGAAAUGCGUAGAUAUCAGGAGGAACACUGGUGGUGAAGGCGGCCUGCUGGACCGCAACUGACGUUGAGGCGCGAAAGCGUGGGGAGCAAACAGGAUUAGAUACCCCAGUAGUC
rnacentral:rRNA from 1 species